GAAAGCGUAAUAGCUCACUAGUCGAGUCGGCCUGCGCGGAAGAUGUAACGGGGCUCAAACCAGGCACCGAAGCCGCGGAUUCACACUUAUGUGUGAGUGGUAGGGGAGCGUUCUGUAAGUCUGCGAAGGUGUAUCGAGAGGUAUGCUGGAGAUAUCAGAAGUGCGAAUGCUGACGUAAGUAACGAUAAAGGGGGUGAAAAGCCUCCUCGCCGGAAGACCAAGGGUUCCUGUCCAACGUUAAUCGGGGCAGGGUGAGUCGACCCCUAAGGCGAGGCCGAAAGGCGUAGUCGAUGGGAAGCAGGUUAAUAUUCCUGCACGACUUGUAAUUGCGAUGGGGGGACGGAGAAGGCUAGGUGGGCCAGGCGACGGUUGUCCUGGUGAAAGUGCGUAGGUGGUGUUUCUAGGCAAAUCCGGAGACACAACACUGAGACACGAGACGAACACACUACGGUGUGGAAGCCAUUGAUGCCCUGCUUCCAGGAAAAGCCUCUAAGCUUCAGAUUACAAGUCAUCGUACCCCAAACCGACACAGGUGGUCGGGUAGAGAAUACCAAGGCGCUUGAGAGAACUCGGGUGAAGGAACUAGGCAAAAUAGAACCGUAACUUCGGGAGAAGGUUCGCUCUUGACAGUGAAGUCCCUUGCGGAUGGAGCAGUUGGGAGUCGCAGUGACCAGAUGGCUGGGACUGUUUAUCAAAAACACAGCACUCUGCAAACACGAAAGUGGACGUAUAGGGUGUGACACCUGCCCGGUGCCGGAAGGUUAAUUGAUGGGGUUAGCGCAAGCGAAGCUCUUGAUCGAAGCCCCGGUAAACGGCGGCCGUAACUAUAACGGUCCUAAGGUAGCGAAAUUCCUUGUCGGGUAAGUUCCGACCUGCACGAAUGGUGUAACCAUGGCCAUGCUGUCUCCACCCGAGACUCAGUGAAAUCGAAUUCGCCGUGAAGAUGCGGUGUACCCGCGGCUAGACGGAAAGACCCCGUGAACCUUUACUACAGCUUGGCACUGAACAUUGAACCUACAUGUGUAGGAUAGGUGGGAGGCUUUGAAGGCGUGACGCCAGUUGCGCUGGAGCCGUCCUUGAAAUACCACCCUUGUAUGUUUGAUGUUCUAACGCAGGGCCCUGAAUCGGGCUCGCGGACAGUGCCUGGUGGGUAGUUUGACUGGGGCGGUCUCCUCCCAAAGAGUAACGGAGGAGCACGAAGGUUGGCUAAUCCUGGUCGGACAUCAGGAGGUUAGUGCAAUGGCAUAAGCCAGCUUGACUGCGAGCGUGACGGCGCGAGCAGGUGCGAAAGCAGGUCAUAGUGAUCCGGUGGUUCUGAAUGGAAGGGCCAUCGCUCAACGGAUAAAAGGUACUCCGGGGAUAACAGGCUGAUACCGCCCAAGAGUUCAUAUCGACGGCGGUGUUUGGCACCUCGAUGUCGGCUCAUCACAUCCUGGGGCUGAAGUCGGUCCCAAGGGUAUGGCUGUUCGCCAUUUAAAGUGGUACGCGAGCUGGGUUCAGAACGUCGUGAGACAGUUCGGUCCCUAUCUGCCGUGGGCGUUGGAUGAUUGAAGGGAGUUGCUCCUAGUACGAGAGGACCGGAGUGAACGAACCUCUGGUGUUCGGGUUGUCACGCCAGUGGCACUGCCCGGUAGCUAAGUUCGGAAUCGAUAACCGCUGAAAGCAUCUAAGCGGGAAGCGAGCCCUGAGAUGAGUCAUCCCUGACCCCUUGAGGGUCCUAAAGGGCCGUUGGAGACCACAACGUUGAUAGGUGGGGUGUGUAAGCGCGGCGACGUGUUGAGCUAACCCAUACUAAUUACCCGUGAGGCUUAACCAU
rnacentral:rRNA from 1 species